CUGGCUCAGGACGAACGCUGGCGGCGUGCCUAAUACAUGCAAGUCGAGCGGAGUUUAUCGGGAGCUUGCUCCUGAUAAACUUAGCGGCGGACGGGUGAGUAACACGUAGGCAACCUGCCCGUAAGACUGGGAUAACUACCGGAAACGGUAGCUAAUACCGGAUACGCAAGUCUCUCGCAUGAGGGACUUGGGAAAGGCGGAGCAAUCUGUCACUUACGGAUGGGCCUGCGGCGCAUUAGCUAGUUGGUGGGGUAACGGCUCACCAAGGCGACGAUGCGUAGCCGACCUGAGAGGGUGAACGGCCACACUGGGACUGAGACACGGCCCAGACUCCUACGGGAGGCAGCAGUAGGGAAUCUUCCGCAAUGGACGAAAGUCUGACGGAGCAACGCCGCGUGAGUGAUGAAGGUUUUCGGAUCGUAAAGCUCUGUUGCCAGGGAAGAACGUCCGUUAGAGUAACUGCUAACGGAGUGACGGUACCUGAGAAGAAAGCCCCGGCUAACUACGUGCCAGCAGCCGCGGUAAUACGUAGGGGGCGAGCGUUGUCCGGAAUUAUUGGGCGUAAAGCGCGCGCAGGCGGCUGUUUAAGUCUGGUGUUUAAUCCUGGGGCUCAACCCCGGGUCGCACUGGAAACUGGGCAGCUUGAGUGCAGAAGAGGAGAGUGGAAUUCCACGUGUAGCGGUGAAAUGCGUAGAGAUGUGGAGGAACACCAGUGGCGAAGGCGACUCUCUGGGCUGUAAC
rnacentral:rRNA from 1 species